GAUGAACGCUGGCGGCGUGCCUAAUACAUGCAAGUCGAGCGAACAGACGAGGAGCUUGCUCCUCUGACGUUAGCGGCGGACGGGUGAGUAACACGUGGAUAACCUACCUAUAAGACUGGGAUAACUUCGGGAAACCGGAGCUAAUACCGGAUAAUAUAUUGAACCGCAUGGUUCAAUAGUGAAAGACGGUUUUGCUGUCACUUAUAGAUGGAUCCGCGCCGCAUUAGCUAGUUGGUAAGGUAACGGCUUACCAAGGCAACGAUGCGUAGCCGACCUGAGAGGGUGAUCGGCCACACUGGAACUGAGACACGGUCCAGACUCCUACGGGAGGCAGCAGUAGGGAAGCUUCCGCAAUGGGCGAAAGCCUGACGGAGCAACGCCGCGUGAGUGAUGAAGGGCUUCGGAUCGUAAAACUCUGUUAUUAGGGAAGAACAAAUGUGUAAGUAACUAUGCACGUCUGGACGGUACCUAAUCAGAAAGCCACGGCUAACUACGU
rnacentral:rRNA from 1 species